rnacentral:rRNA from 1 species
CCUACGGGUGGCAGCAGUGGGGAAUAUUGGGCAAUGGGCGCAAGCCUGACCCAGCAACGCCGCGUGAAGGAAGAAGGCUUUCGGGUUUUAAACCUCUUUUUCUAGGGACGAAGCAAGUGUCGGUACUUGAGGAAUAAGCCACGGCCAACUACGUGCCAGCGGCCGUGGUAAUACGUAGGUGGCAAGCGUUAUCCGGAUUUACUGGGUGUAAAGGGUGUGUAGGCGGGAAGGCAAGUCAGAUGUGAAAUCAACGGGCUCAACCUGUGGCCUGCAUUUAACACUGUAGUUCUUGAGUACGGGGGAGGUAGACGGAAUUCGUAGUGUAGCGGUGAAAUGCGUAGAUAUUAGGAGGAACCCCAAUGGCGAAGGCAGUCUGCUGGAGAGCAACUGACGCUGAGGCGCGAAGGCGUGGGGAGCGAACAGGAUUAGAUACCCGAGUAGUC